rnacentral:rRNA from 1 species
AGCAGCCGCGGUAAUUCCAGCUCCAAUAGCGUAUAUUAAAGUUGUUGCAGUUAAAAAGCUCGUAGUUGAAUUUCGGGGUCAGUAGGUUGGUCAUGCCACUGGUAUGUACUGGUCUCACUGAUUCCUCCUUCCUGAUGAACUGUAAUGCCAUUAAUUUGGUGUUGCAGGGAAUCUGGACUGUUACUUUGAAAAAUUAGAGUGUUUAAAGCAGGCUAACGCCUGAAUACAUUAGCGUGGAAUAAUGAAAUAGGACGUUCGAUCCUAUUUUGUUGGUUUCUAGGAUUGACGUAAUGAUUAAUAGGGAUAGUUGGGGGCAUUAGUAUUCAAUUGUCAGAGGUGAAAUUCUUGGAUUUAUUGAAGACUAACUACUGCGAAAGCAUUUGCCAAGGAUGUUUUCAUUAAUCAAGAACGAAAGUUAGGGGAUCGAAGACGAUCAGAUACCGUCGUAGU